GUGCUCGCUUCAGCAUCACAUAUACUAAAAUUGGAACAAUAUAGAGAUUAGCAUGGUCCCUAUGCAAAGAUGACAUACAAAUUCAUGAAGCAUUUCAUAUUUUU